GGCACUUUGCCAGAGUGGUUAAUGGGUGAGACUCGAAUCUUUCCUAGAUAUCUCAUGGCUUCGGCCGCGCAGGUUCGAGUCCUGCAGGUGUCG